GAAUGUGAGGGUGAUCUGGUUGUAACAUUUGUCAUCUCAUUGAUUGUCAGGGUUUAUUCGGCUGAUCUGGUUGGCUAUGUGGUUGUCCCCUUCCUCCCUCACCACACCAUGUGUGUCCUUCUUGUAGCUGUGUGCUUGGUGGAAGAGGACAACCAUCCCAAGUAGUAGCCAAGGUCUCCAGUCUUCAGUCUUGGGUAUAUGAUAGGUGCGUUCCCCUGUGAGAACUUCCAAGUGUGACCUCAUAUCAGUGCCAUCAUGGUGAAAAGCCAUAUUGAGCCACAAUAGCUCCCUCAAAAGAUUUAUAGUUCAUCAAGAG
rfam:Anolis carolinensis unplaced genomic scaffold chrTn0029, whole genome shotgun sequence.